rnacentral:rRNA from 1 species
AACGAACGCUGGCGGCAGGCCUAACACAUGCAGGUCGAGCGCGCCCUUCGGGGUGAGCGGCGGACGGGUGAGUAACGCGUGGGAACGUGCCCUUUUCUACGGAAUAGCCUCGGGAAACUGAGAGUAAUACCGUAUACGCCCUUUGGGGGAAAGAUUUAUCGGAAAAGGAUCGGCCCGCGUUGGAUUAGGUAGUUGGUGGGGUAAUGGCCUACCAAGCCGACGAUCCAUAGCUGGUUUGAGAGGAUGAUCAGCCACACUGGGACUGAGACACGGCCCAGACUCCUACGGGAGGCAGCAGUGGGGAAUCUUAGACAAUGGGGGCAACCCUGAUCUAGCCAUGCCGCGUGAGUGAUGAAGGCCUUAGGGUUGUAAAGCUCUUUCAGCUGGGAAGAUAAUGACGGUACCAGCAGAAGAAGCCCCGGCUAACUCCGUG